CAGAGUUCAUGCCCUUCGGGGUAGAUCUCCCACCCUUGUAUAAUAUCAAUAUUUGUUGCUUUGGCGGGCCGCGAGCUUAGCUUGCCCGGGCUCACCCCGGCGUACCCGCCAGAGGACCCCUAAACUCUGAAUGUUAAUGUCGUCUGAGUAUUAUAAAAUAAUUA
rnacentral:misc_RNA from 1 species